rnacentral:lncRNA from 1 species
UGACACACCCCGUCCCGAAGGAGGGCGUGCUGGCCGUCACGUGAGAGUGACGUAACCAUUUACAUAGUUCAGAAGCUUUAAAAAAAAAUUCCAAUUACUAAGAUGACACACCCGAGGGUGAGUCCUACUUUUGUGAAUUCUGUCAGAACACCGUUGGAUUCCUCGUGGCCACCAAAGCUCUGCUAACUUGAACCUGGAGGGGCGCAAAACAAAAUUGAGUGGGUCAGUAAAACAAAGUUUUUUGAAAACUUUUCAUUUAAAAUAUUUCUAACCCCUCACCGUAAAACCUGUAUACUUUCCCAGAAAAUAGCAUAUAUAUAAACAUAUAUAUAAGCAAAAAUCUCAAAUCUCAAACCUUUAACACUUUUCAGAAAAAUAUAUAUAUAUAUAUAACCAUAUGAAAUCUCAAAACUUGAAUCCCAAAUCUUUAACAUUUUUCAAGAAAAACAUGCCAUGCCAUAAAUCAAAAUAUAAAUCAGGUGAAAUAAGGAAUCAAUCGGAGACCCUGCAGUUGGUCCUAUACGAUUAAUUCAAUAGCUCAAUAUCUCACUAAGCCGGAGUCACCACAGUGACCUAUACGGCCCUACUCUGCACAUCACUCGGAACUACGUAAGGUAGUCUGUACGAUGAAAGGUGUAAAAAUACGCUCUAGUGCUUCUCUCAUCAUAUCAUCAGCGCGCAUAACUAAGGUCACCCACUAGUCGGAAUCACGCCUAGUGAUCUGUACGACUAGCAUGUCGGAACCCUCACAUGGUCUGUACGACAUCCACCUACUUGGAUCCAAGGCGAGCGUGCGGUGUGGUGAAUAAAAUAAGCACUAACACCUAGGGUGCAGAUUAUGAGCUCAAAUUAUAUCAACAUCAACCAAUUCAAUGCAUAAAUGAACUCACCUGACUUACCUUUGCCUCCACAGCACCAUGCAAUAUGUAUGCAUCAUAUAUCAAUCAUAUAAUUCAUAAACCAAUCCAUGAUUUUCAAAUAAUUCUAUGCAUGGCAUGUUCAAAACAUAUUUUCAUAUAAAACAUUUUCUGGGGGAAAAACAGUAGUAUAUAGGUAAUACGAAAACAAAACUGCCCACUCACCUGGAGUUCGCUCAACAACUCCCUAGCACCACACAUCAAGGCGUCAUGAAGAUUAGCGCCUAGAACAAUAAUCAAACCCAACCUCAGAAAUCCUGCCGAUAGAAUACAUAACUUAUAUAAGACACGUCACUACGUAGUUCGAUCCGGAUGAUCUGCAAUUCAGAUUUCAAAUCCGAAACUUCCAGAGGUCCACAAUAUACCUCUAGGACAACAUCCUAAAAAUUUCGUUACCAUCCAACGGUCGGAUCUCCGUCAAUUUCCAAAACUAAGUGACGGUUAACAUUCUAUUUUAUGAACUUACAAUUCUAAUUCCGGAAUAUCCGUAAAUCGGAUUCCCAAUCCGUAAGUUCCUAUAAUCCUCAAAUAUUACGUAUUACAAUGUAUCAAAGUUUGAUGACGAUCCAACGGUCGGAUCGUCAAUUCACAUUUUCACCUAACCCCGAAUCGUAACCAACUUAGGUUCAAUUAUUCAAUUUACGUCCAUCAAUUAUCAAAACAGAACCUAGAACCUUAAUCACAAGCUAAUAAUGACAUUGGCGGCCAUUGGCCACACGCCGCCGCGCGGGCCGCCGCGGGUGGCGGUUGGCCGCCCCCGGCUCGCCGGAAAAUUCAACUAUUUCCAAAAAUUACCAAAAUUUGCAGAUUUGAAGAUCUCAAUGAGUAGAACAACUUUCAUACCUGAGACCAAGGCCAAUUUGGCCUGGAAGUGCUUCAAUUUCACCAAAACCGUGAAGAACCCUAGAAUUUGGGUGUUUCCAAUUCGACCUUCAAACUUGUUCCAACGCCUCAAUUACCUCUUGGGCUUUGUUCUAGGUCCUAAAGGAAUGCUAAAGGUGUUAGUAAUUGAAAGAAAACAUUUCAAAAUUUGGAGAAUUUAAACAAAAGGGUCGCGGCACCCGUAGGGGUGUUCUUCGCGAAAUCACAACGAAAUUCAAUGAUUCUUGGGGUGAAACGUAAAGAGGGAAGGCCUAGAUGAUGAUUAGGAGUGGUACCUUGACUCAAUUCGUUGGAAAUUUGGACGGAAAUGGCGAAAACCCGCCGAUUUGGAAGCUUGGGUCGCGCGGGUCAAGGGUGACCCAUUCCUCCUGUUCCCCCGCGCACCACUCUCCCUCCUUUCCCUCCUUUCCGUCCCCUGAUUGGUCAGCUUCUUCCUCUCCCUUCUUCUGGUUUGCGCUCUCACCUUCUUCUUCUCCGAUUGGGCAUUUCUGCCCAGUCUCUUCUUCUUUUCUGUUUUCUGUUUCUUCUUCUCAUACACAUACACACACCAAAAACCUUUCCCUCAUCCCAGCCAUCCAUUUCAUUCAUCAAUAAAUCUGGGCCGUCCAAUUUCAUAAAAGAAUUUCUAUAUUUUACUAAAAUUAUAAUUCCUUAAAAUUCCAAAUUUCAAACGUUAAUAACUUCUUCGAUAUAACUCCAAAUCACGAACCGUCUGCGCCCACACGUCCGUAACGACGAGUACUACGAGGAUAUGUCAAGAAAACAAAUCUUAGAUGGCACGACACAACGAUUAACCUCGAAUGAUGUGCGUGCCUCGA